rnacentral:rRNA from 1 species
UACAGAGGUCUCAAGCGUUGUUCGGAUUCAUUGGGCGUAAAGGGCGUGUAGGUGGCGCGCUAAGUCGGGUGUGAAAUUUCGGAGCUUAACUCCGAAGCUGCAUUCGAUACUGGCGUGCUUGAGGACUGGAGAGGAGACUGGAAUUCAUGGUGUAGCAGUGAAAUGCGUAGAGAUCAUGAGGAAGACCAGUGGCGAAGGCGGGUCUCUGGACAGUUCCUGACACUGAGACACGAAGGCCAGGGGAGCAAACGGG